rnacentral:tRNA from 1 species
GUCCCCAUCGUCUAGCCAGGUCCAGGACACGGCCCUUUCAAGGCUGUAACACGGGUUCGAAUCCCGUUGGGGACGCCA